rnacentral:rRNA from 1 species
AUUCCCCUAGUAACUGCGAGUGAAGCGGGAAAAGCUCAAAUUUGAAAUCUGGUGGUCUUUGGCCAUCCGAGUUGUAAUUUAGAGAAGCGUCUUCCGCGCUGGACCGUGCACAAGUCUCCUGGAAUGGAGCGUCAUAGAGGGUGAGAAUCCCGUCUUUGGCACGGAUCCCCAGGGCUUUUGUGAUGCGCUCUCGACGAGUCGAGUUGUUUGGGAAUGCAGCUCAAAAUGGGUGGUGAACUCCAUCUAAAGCUAAAUAUUGGCGAGAGACCGAUAGCGAACAAGUACCGUGAGGGAAAGAUGAAAAGCACUUUGGAAAGAGAGUGAAACAGUACGUGAAAUUGUUGAAAGGGAAACGCUUGAAGUCAGUCGCGUUGACCGAGACUCAGCCUUGCCUUGGCUUGGUGUAUUUCUCGGCUGACGGGUCAGCAUCAAUUUUGAUCCUCGGAUAAUGGCAAGGGAAAGGUGGCACCUUUUAGGUGUGUUAUAGUCCUCUGUCGCAUGCGAGGGUUGGGAUUGAGGAACUCAGCACGCACCUCUGGGUGUCGGGGCUUCGGCCUACGUUACGUGCUUAGGAUGCUGGCGUAAUGGCUUUAAACGACCCGUCUUGAAACACGGACCAAGGAGUCUAACAUACCCGCGAGUGUUCGGGUGGAAAACCCGUGCGCGUAAUGAAAGUAAAAGUUGGGACCUCUGUCGUGGAGGGCACCGACGCCCGGACCAGACCUUUUGUGACGGCUCUGCGGUAGAGCGUGUAUGUUGGGACCCGAAAGAUGGUGAACUAUGCCUGAAUAGGGUGAAGCCAGAGGAAACUCUGGUGGAGGCUCGUAGCGAUUCUGACGUGCAAAUCGAUCGUCAAAUUUGGGUAUAGGGGCGAAAGAC